GUUACUGUUCUUAAUUUGUUAGAUGUUUACUGUGAAAUAUAAAUCCUGGAAUGUAUUUCUCUGUUGUGUGUUUUUAGGUUGCAAUACUGAGCUGAGAAUAAUUCAUUUUCUAAUCGCUAUCAUUAACACAAUUUGUUUCUAUUAUGUGUAACUAUUUUUAAUUUCUAGGUUGUGUAAAUUACAAUAACAAUGACACACCGACUUUAUUUUAUCAGCAUUCACAUUUAUUUGUAAACAUUGUUUAGUUAAUCGAACCCUGUUGUAUUACGGGCAGUUGUUUACAUAACAUUCAAAGUAAAUAUUAUGAUUAGUGUAAACGGCAUUAAUCGUAAUAUCCUUCCCCUGUAUCAAAUAGGAUGUUUAAUCCUAACUAUUUGUAGCACAGCUUGUCUCCAGAAGAGCAUCCAUUUCUCGGAUCGCAUAGGACGUCUCCAAGUGAUAUUCCGAGUACAAUGCUUCCCUAGCAGCUUUUCAGGAAGAGAAGUUUAAUAGACGAGCCCCUUUAAGAUGAAAUUUACUCUUUACAACCUGGGGAUACAGUAUGAAAAUAUCAACACAAUGAACUAGGCUCUGAGGAUUCCCACAGAGGAGGAGCUACGCAGUAUAUUUUGGGACAUCCUCAGAUAAACAGUUGUAGCCUAAAUUGGUAUCCCAUGAGAUGUUAAGAGAAUUUGAGAUUACCCUCCAACAGCUGCUAAACCACUUAACCGUAUCACUGCCACAGGGGCAAGCAAUACAUCCAUUUCUUUCUGUUAUGUAUCAGAGAGACUCUGUAGCUAUUGUUGACUACCACUCCUAUCAUGCACAGCCAAGCCAUGGGAAAAAGCAGAGUGAAACAUGUUCCCUUGUAUGCUUUCGUUGAAAAAUAUCUGCAUAAAUCAUAUUAAUUAAAAAAAAGUACUCCGCCUACAGACAGACAGCCGGUGAAUUCUGUGAGGUGUGACAGCUACCAUCCUCAGCCAACCUAUCUGAUUGAUGGGAACUGAGGUCCAGAAGAAACAGACUGGGUAUUCAUGUGCAAUUGAAGGGACACUCUUAGCAACAUAACCUGUGCAGAUCAGCAUAGUGUUUAUGUUACCUAGAGUUUCUGAAUGCUUUAGUUUUAUAUUAAUUUGUUUAGGAACGGUGUGAUAAAAAAUUAUAAAUGGUCUCUGGUUUAAUUAAGAAUAGUUAAGGAAGUUGGUUACAAUGUUUGGUAUAAUGUUGGUGGGUUUCGAGCUCAGAACCUUGGGGGUGUAGGAGUAUCUGGGUAUACCCCUACCAGGAGGCGAUUAAUUAUGUUGCACUUUAUUUGUGUAUAUUUAUCGUUUGUUAUAUUGUUCUAAUAAUGUUUACAAUAUGGGUCAUUGCCUUUAUUUAUGACAUAUGGAAUAUAUAUUGUUAAUGUGUGGUGGGGCAAUGACUAUUAUUAAUAAAGCCGUGGACAUAUUG